rnacentral:lncRNA from 1 species
CUUUUAAGUUUAAUUAUGUCCCAUUUAUUUAUUUUUGUUUUCAUUUCCAUUACUCUAGAAGAUAGAUCCAAAAAAAUUAUUGCUGAGAUUUUUGUUAAGCGUGUUCUGCCUAUGUUUUCUUCUAGGAGUUUAAUAGUAUCUGGUCUUACAUUUAGGUCUUUAAUCCAUUUUGAGUUUAUUUUUGAAUAUGGUGUUAGAGAAUGUUUUAAUUACAUUCUUUUGCAGGUAGUGUCCAGUUUUCCCAGCACCACUUAUUGAAGAGACUGUCUUCUCCUUUGUAUAUUGUUACUUCUUUGUCAUAAAUUAAUUAUCCGUAAGUGCAUAGGUUUACUUAUGGGCAUGCAGUAAGAUUGUAAAAAUCACAAAUGCAGAGUUCUCAUCGUGGCUCAGCGGAAACUAAUCCAACUAGUAUCCAUGAGGAUGUGGGGUUCAGUCCCUGGGCUUGUUCAGUGGGUUAAGGAUCUAGCAUUGCUGUGAGCCGUGGUGUAGGUCGCAGAUGGGGCUCAGAUCUGGCAUUGCUGUGGCUGUGGUGUAGGCUGGCAGCUGCAGCUCUGAUUCAACCCCUAGCCUGGGAACUUCUGAAUGCUGUGGGUGCAGCCCUUUAAAAAAAAAAAAAAAAAAAAGAAUCACAAAUGCAGUUAGUUCACUAAAUUUUGACUCUUCUCAAUCAUUAUCUGAUGUAAUCACAGAUUACACUAAAGUUUGAAGACGGCUUUAAUCCCAACUUCCUUUGUAAAUUAGUGAUCUUGAAAAAAUUGUGAUGCUAUAGAACUGACAGCCUCUUCUUGUUGAAACAAAAUAAUCUGACCAGCUGGCAAAUAGAGCACCUUCAAUGUGAUCCAAGUAGACAAAUAGAAACAGACACCCCAGGAUUUACAUUUAUUCAUAACUAUUCAUGAAAUGCUUUUUUCUGAGGAAAUGUGUCAAGGCUCUAGUUGUGGCUUGGUCCCCAAGUCCCAGACUGCCCUGCUCUUACCUUUCCUGCUGGCUACUUCUGAAGGGAUGCCCCUGGCCCCAAACCGCACCCCUCUCCACUUAGCCUGUGCCAUAGUUAAUUAUCAUCUGUCAUUUACUUGGCCCUUGCGUGGCCCAGGCACCUGUUUUUGUUUUAAUCACUUUUCACGUCUUGGUAUAUUCAGUCGCCUACCAGCGCUCUGGGCAUAUGUGUGGCCCAGGCCCGCCCUUUCAGAGCCGCUCAGUCAGAGAGCUAGAACACUCCCUCGUGGUGAGCGCUUGUCUAGUGACAGAUGACUCAGGUGAAUUGUUCACCUUGUGAAAAAAUAAACUCUGGCUCAUUUUGACACUUGUAGGAAGUGGAAAGCUGCCAUUAAGCUUUAUUUUCCCGCCUUGGGUUUAAUGAUUUUCUCGGGGUCAUUGCCUUCACUGAAAAAGGGUUCUCCCUCCACCAGAAGAGGAGACUGUCCUGACUGCUCAGGUAAUGCGGGUGACAGAAGAGGUGGGAGAAAUGAAAAGACUUAUAAAAUCUUCCUAGGUGUUUCCAGUAGAGAUCCUGCUCUCAUUUCUAAUGACCAGAAACUCUGAAACGAUGGUCUCCAUAGAAGAUCCUACCCCAUAGUCUCCACCUCUGACUGUGGGGCUCUAUCUGCGGGAUCAGCCUGGGUUCAUUCAUUCCCAAGAGUCCCAAGCUGAAAAAGUCAGCCCACUGGGAGGAGGCAGUUAGGGGCAGAGAGCGAGACACAGAGGGCUGCAAACAGUCCCCAAACCCCACACUCGCUGAGCAGGUACUGGGUGAUAAACUCCGCAGCCCUUACUCACGGUACCUAGUUUUAUCUUUACAAUCACCCUAUACAUCAGGUACUAUUUUAGUCAGCAAGUGUCACAAAAAUGACACAGAGCAGAUCACCUCAAAAUAUGGGAGCAAUACCGUAUUAGUCAGCUAGUGUCACAAAAACGACACAGAACAGAUCAUCGCAAAAUAGUUACAGAAACAAGCCGUGACUUCUUGUACAUACCUAUACAUAUCUAGCGUCUGACUGUUGCAGCCGGGCUCAGCUGGGCACGGGUGCCCCCACAGGUUACGUUCCUGCAUCCUCCAGGGUCGCUUACUCAUCCAGGACACUGCGGGCGGUGCUUCUAACAGUGAUCAGAGGUGCAAGAGGGCACACCCAAGCUCACGAGCAGGCCUUUGCCUCCUGCGUGUAUGCUAACCACCCAGCCGAACAAUUCUAAUGGCCAAGCCCAAAGUCAGGAGUCAGGGACAGACACUGUGCCCACCAGGAGGCCACGUCAAGUGUGUGAAUGUGUAAUACUACUGCAGGAGUGUGAAGACUGGGCCAGUAACUAAACCCGGCACAGGUGCUCUUACUGCUCUCAUCCUGGAGAUGAGGACGUCAGGAGGGCUUGGAAGACUUGCCCAGUGUCCCUCUAAUCUUGACUGGAGAUGCUGACAUUUAAACCCAAGCAGUCAGGCCCAGAACCCAAACUGUUAUGCAGGACAGCUCACCGGGCACCAGGCAAAAUCUCCUAUGAGCCAGGAUGGACAGGUUAACAGUCAGAUACAGAGUGGGAAAGGGCCAGGGGAAGGAGCAGGCUAGGAUCAGCCCAAGAGGAAGCCUGCUCCUGCUGAUCUUGUACCUCUCAGACCACUGAACCCCAGACUUGCAAAGGGCAUCUCCUCUAGGCCAAGGGUGGAAUCAGAAAUUGUCAAGGUCAUACCCGCAAGGAGGGAAGUUACUCCCCAGAUCUUUUCAGAAUUCAGGAGUUAUCCAAAAGUUGCUGCUCUUUAUAUUUUUCUGUCAUUUCAAAUUGUAUGUAAUGAGUAAAACAAAAGCACAACUUUACAAAUAAAUAAAUAAAAGUGUUAAAAUAUAGCUGUAGUAUCUUCCCACUGUUUGAGAAUUAGUUCAUAGGAAGUUUUUCUCUUAUACUUCAAAUGUGUUUAAAUUACUUUUAAUUAGGGAAUUCCAAAAAUAUUUCCUGUUCCAAAUACUGAAUUUUUGUUUUAAGAAUUUUUCAUCAGGACCCCGCUCUCAUGUCUAAGAUAGGAAUAAAUUUCAGUUACUUCAAAGAUUAUUUUCUGCUGUUGUAACUAAUUUUAUAUGUGAUGGAUAAAAAGGCCGUAAUAAUUUAAUUCAUUUUUAAUGUUUAAUAGCUGUGUAUUAAAUAAGUGCUUUUAACAAAAAUAAGUAUAAAGACUGAUGAGAAGAGUCUGUCAAAACAUUUUUUAAUUUAAAAAUUUUAACAUUUUGAUUUUCUGCUAUACUAAAAUGCUUUCAAUUUGGGUGAUAUUUCUUAAAAUUUCGGUGAAAGGUAAUCAGUGUUCUUCUCUCAGUUGGUUUCUUAUUUCUGACCAAAUUAAAUCAUAAGAGGUUGACAGAUUAUGAAACAGUGAUUCAAAGAAAGUACCAUCUAAGGAGAAAUGACCAUCUUGUUUUAACCCCAAAAUAGAUCAAGGCGUAAUUACUUCAUAUGUAGUGAUGCAACAUGACUGCUUUCAUGGAAACAAAAGGGACUGGUGCCAUUGCAUAGCUGGUCUGUGCCACCCUGCUUCAUGGUGAAACUUCUGCCCUGCUGUCUCUUCAGCUACAGAUAAUUGCAUGUAUGCACUUUGUCUUUGCUUUUGGAAUCUUUAAAUACAACUGUAGUAAAACUUCCAACCAUACUAUUAAAAUUAAUUUAUUAUUUAAAAAAUGGGAUUUCUUAUUUCAGUAUUAGAUGUAAAAUUUUAAAACUAGCCUAUGCUAUAUAAUAUUUUACAUCUUAAAUGCAAUUCUUAGAACAUAGCAGUCACAACACAUUCAAUCAUUUAACUCAGGAAUACAGAAAAGCAGAAUUUAAAUACAUCCAAAGGAGUAGAUCAAGUACAAAGAAAUUUAAAAGUUAGAAAUAAGCAGAAGGUUUUAAAUAGAAAAAUAAAAAUAAAAUAUCCAGUUUGCAACAGCAAACAAAAGUCAUUGAAAUAUAGGAAUAAAUCUAGGAAAAAUGCUCAAGAUCCUUAGAGUUGUAAUUAAAUUGGCAAGUUGUUUAUACCCCCAAAUAGAAAAGUUAUUCCCAAGAUCUUUUUGAAAUUCCACUAGUAAUCCAAAAGUUAAUUUUCUUUAUCUUUUCUGUCAUUUCAAAUAAUGACAAUAAUUUGAAAUAAAAGAAAACUUGAAUACAUUAUUUACUGAUGGGAAGACUCAGUUGUGAAGCUGUCAUUUCUCCCCCAAAUUACUGUAUAAUUAACAGAUGGCUUUGAAAAGUUUCAUUGUGGAAAAGAAAAUAUGCAAAGUAAGCAUAUCCCUCGGCGGCAGGGACAAAGCAGAGGUGGAAGAGGCCCUGGGGACAUUUUAGGUGAUUUUCAGACAUCCUUAGAAACAUCUGCACUGUGGGGAGCUGCCAGGCCCACCUGGUGACAUGACUGGGCAAGCUGAAUUGGCGCUUCUCCAGCUGCAGGUUACCUAGCAGCGCCCAGCAUCCUCACGGACUGUGGGGCCACGUGUAGAUAUAUAUGCGUCAGUUUGCUCUCAGUAGAUUCGAAUUUUACCAUUUUCACAGAAAUAAAAUCUUGCUAAACUGUGCUGGUUAUAGUAAGUCCAAAUGACACUUUACCAAAAAUCCUAUCCUCUAAAACUUGCAUUUUUUAGUGUUGAUUGGAUGUCAAAACCCAUUUUGUAAAGCAUACAGCUAGUACAGGAGACAUGGCAUUUCCUUUUCUUUUCUUCUUCUUUCAUAGAUCCUUUUUUAUGGUUUGUAUGGUAUUUUCUCUUCUGCCACUUCGCAGUGGCGUUUCUUCGGUGUGCCGACACCUGCCGGAGCCCUGUCCUCUUCCAGCCUGGCCUUUGGAGCUCGUGGUCCCAAGCGGUUGGCUUGGCCUCUUUUCUCGGGAGAUGAGUGCUGGAUUGUCUCCCUGGGUUGAGACCGUUUGGCCUGGUGAUGGGCAGCGCGGGGUUGUGACGGGCGCGCCAGCUUUGGAGACAUUUGCAGUCUCUCCGCAGGCAUUUCUGGGCUCUGCCCCAGCGCGUGUUCCCUCACCUGAAAGAUGACGUCAUCAGGGUCCCUUGUCGACUCUUACUGAUGAUGUCACGUUAACCUGUCAGGUCCGUGGUGCUCCCCAGAUAAUUAGUUAUUUUCCUUAAAUAUUGAUUUAAAAAUAAAAAUGGGAUGAUUUUUAGAAUAGUGUGGAGGGUUUAAGAACUUCCAAAUUCCUGUGAGUCCUUUUUUUUUGAGCCGUAGAUUCCCUUGCUCCAGGCCUGCUUUUUACAGGACCUUCCGAAUGUCAGGAUGAGGGAAGGGUGAGUGGAGGGUGGUCGGCCGAGCCUCGGUGUGUGGACCGGGCCAGGGAGGGGCAGGGGCAGCCCUGAGGACCCCCCGACCCCUUCUCGAGUCUCCGUGGAGCUGCUGACAGCACACCCAGAGAGCACUGGCAGGAAGGAGUCAGGUUUUUCAAAGAAAGAAAAAGACCCGUGAGACUGUUUCGUUUUGGACAGAGCUUGUUAGGCUGUUCAAGCGGGCAGAGAGGGAGGGAGGGAGGCCGGCGUUCCCAGUGCGGGAGCCCCGCAGCCCCCUGUGCACAGGGGACUCCCCUGCGACCGGGCCCGGCCAGCCCCCCUUCCCACCUGCGGAUGUGGCCAGCUACGGAGGCCACCGUCAGCACAGGCCCGCCUCCUGCCGGCGCGCAGGGUGGAGAUGGAGUGGGAGGUGAGGACGGGGUACGGGGUAGUUGAAGUGUCUUCAAGGCGUGGUGUCCCUUGAAUGUACUCUUAAGGCAUGGCCUGGAUGGCCCCUGCUAGGUUGCCUUGACCUUGGUCCAGUCUCUGUGUCAUCGUCACCAUGCACACUCCCUGCCCACCUCUCUCUCCAGAGGGAAACUAAAACAGAGAAACUCUUUCUCCAGAGAGAAAUCUCUGCUGGGCCAUGAGUGUGGGCGCCGGGGGUCAAAUGAUGCAGUAGGAGCUAACGUUUUCUUCUCUUUUUCUUAUGCGCCAGGCACUGCGCUCACCUUUUUUACAUUCUUCAUAUAAUUGAUACACAUAGCAGCCCACCACUGGUAUGUUAGUCUCACUUUGAAGAUGGGGAACCACUGCU